rnacentral:rRNA from 1 species
UACGUAGGGUGCAAGCGUUGUCCGGAAUUAUUGGGUGUAAAGAGCUCGUAGGCGGUUUGUCGCGUCGACUGUGAAAACCCGCGGCUCAACCGUGUGGUCUGCAGUCGAUACGGGCAGGCUAGAGUUCGGUAGGGGAGACUGGAAUUCCUGGUGUAGCGGUGAAAUGCGCAGAUAUCAGGAGGAACACCGGUGGCGAAGGCGGGUCUCUGGGCCGAUACUGACGCUGAGGAGCGAAAGCGUGGGGAGCGAACAGG